GUUUGUCGUCACUUUCCCAUGAAAGUAGCUUUUAUGCAACCCAAAGAUGCAGAGGCUACCCUCCCCAAACUACUGCUGCUAUGGAAAUAAUUCAUUGAUGCUGCCAAAGUUCUCUCGGACCUUCCCAACCACAGUCGUGUUUUCUUGGUGUUUCUUUGAACACGAGUCGAACCACAGGCGGCUCAUUGAAUGGCAGAGAGUCCAUUGCUGUCAAUGCAACGAGUAAAAACACAUGCAAUCAUGAGAAAAGACCCAUGAAUUGCCGUAGCGUCAAUGUAUAACUCUGCCUGCAAGGUCCCUGUGACUGACCAUAUCAAUUGCCACCCUCCAACCAGCAACAUAUAUUUUUGGUCUGAUAAGAACAGGUGACUCAACAUACUAAGUCUUUACUGCAAAAUUUAACAUACUUUACUGUGAUACAACCUGUGGGCCGAUGAGCAGACCAUAGCAAAUAAAAGAGACAAAUUAUAACAGUCAAGCAAGC